AGCAGCCGCGGUAAUUCCAGCUCCAAUAGCGUAUAUUAAAGUUGCUGCAGUUAAAAAGCUCGUAGUUGAAUUUCGGGACCAUCAUGUUGGUCGUGCCUCGGUACGUACUGGCAUUGUUGGUUUCUCCCUUCUGACGAACCAUGAUGUCAUUUAUUUGGUGUCGUGGGAAAUCAGGACUGUUACUUUGAAAAAUUAGAGUGUUUAAAGCAGGCUCACGCUUGAAUACACUAGCAUGGAAUAAUGAAAUAGGACGUUUGAUUCUAUUUUGUUGGUUUCUAGGAUCGACGUAAUGAUUAAUAGGGAUAGUUGGGGGCAUUAGUAUUCAAUUGUCAGAGGUGAAAUUCUUGGAUUUAUUGAAGACUAACUACUGCGAAAGCAUUUGCCAAGGAUGUUUUCAUUAAUCAAGAACGAAAGUUAGGGGAUCGAAGACGAUCAGAUACCGUCGUAGUCUUAACCAUAAACUAUGCCGACUAGGGAUCGGAUGAUGUUAAUUUUUAAUGA
rnacentral:misc_RNA from 1 species